rnacentral:rRNA from 1 species
AGAACGAACGCUGGCGGCAUGCCUAAUACAUGCAAGUCGAACGAACUCUUCGGAGUUAGUGGCGCACGGGUGCGUAACGCGUGGGAAUCUGCCCUUGGGUUCGGAAUAACAGUUGGAAACGACUGCUAAUACCGGAUGAUGACGAAAGUCCAAAGAUUUAUCGCCCAGGGAUGAGCCCGCGUAGGAUUAGCUAGUUGGUGAGGUAAAGGCUCACCAAGGCGACGAUCCUUAGCUGGUCUGAGAGGAUGAUCAGCCACACUGGGACUGAGACACGGCCCAGACUCCGUACGGGAGCAGCAGUAGGAAUAUUGGACAUGGGCGAAAGCUGAUCCAGCAA